rnacentral:rRNA from 1 species
UACGUAGGGUGCAAGCGUUUGUCCGGAAUUAUUGGGCGUAAAGAGCUCGUAGGCGGUGUGUCACGUCGGCCGUGAAAACCUGCAGCUUAACUGUGGGCGUGCGGUCGAUACGGGCAUCACUGGAGUUCGGCAGGGGAGACUGGAAUUCCUGGUGUAGCGGUGAAAUGCGCAGAUAUCAGGAGGAACACCGGUGGCGAAGGCGGGUCUCUGGGCCGAUACUGACGCUGAGGAGCGAAAGCGUGGGGAGCAAACAGG